CAACAUAAAAGGAGAAGAGAGAAGAGAGAAGAGAAAAAGCAUACAGUACCUCUUCAUUCUUCGACCUGCAACCCCAACUCCCAUCCCGGCCGCGACAUCCGGGUAGAGUGUCGGUUAGUAUCGACGAAACGACGACAGAUUGAAGAUCAACUCACCCAGUAUCGAAGUCUCUGCUGACAUCGACAACCCAACCCAAAGGUUAUCUCGAAAAGGUUAUCUUGUUUGCAGAUCCUGUUUUAGACCGGAAUAGUUGUGUCAUCGUAGCAAUGUUCAGUUGUUGGCUGGUUUCCAUGAAAUUAAGUUAUCAAGAGCAAGAUUGGACUUACAUCACGGUACAUGGUCCUUCAGAUAUCAUAUUUCAUAAGAGCCAACUCUCCUAUGUUACCUUGAUGGAAGCAUUAGGUCAUGGUCAAUUGAUGAUGCUUAUAACAGAUUCUCUGCACCAUUACCAGAUCAGUCUGGGUUCACAUAUCUGGGAGAAAGCAUUCAGGGCUUGUGGAAUCAACAACAGGAGACCUAUGGCAUGUCCUAAGGUCCAGGAGCCAAAAGCAGUUGAAAGCUGAUUCCCAAAGAUUCAAGGUUUUCAAGGUGGAGUUGAUUGAAACAGGACUAGGUGAUUUACUUAUGCAGCAGGUUGAGGUAAAAAGUAUUGGGGACGAUGCUCUUUUCAUAGGCUACAAUUCAGUAUCUGUUUUGGCUUCACAAACUUCAGGGUGUCAGCCAAAUUCCAUAUACUAUUCCAUUGUGUGUGCUGUGGGCAUGUUCAAUUUAGACGAUGAAACAAGUUCUCAUAUUACUUGGCCCUACGAUUCUAAACCUACGUUUUGUGUUACCCCACCGUUCGACUCAGCUAGCUAGCUUACUAUGUGCACGAGGCAUCCCUUCACUUUGUGAUUUGAGGCUAUUACAGAUCACCAUUUUUCACAUUGGACAAUACUACCCUGCUCUCUAUCUCCGGUUAAUGUUCCAACAUAAUGUAAGAGAGGAGGGUAGUAUCACUAGUAUGUAACUCUCUGCACUAGUCAGGCACUGCUUCCUGUUUUAUCAUUCUAGAUGUUUUAUCAUUGCUUCCUGAAUACUUUUAUGAUUAUUCAAUCUU